GCCCGGAGCGCGAAGCGGCUCUCUCCUCUCUGUCCCAGCAGAGCUCUGCAGCGCUGCAGCCUGCGGUCCCUCCAAGUGAACGGCCGCCGUGCUGCGGUUUCUCUGUCAGUCCUCCCCCGGCAGCACGGACAUCCACGGCUGUGUGAGCCGCGCUGAGGUCUCCUGCUCUCCGAGGGGCACCGACUCACCGCGCUGACGGGCCGGACUCGAUGAAAAAUUUGGCAGCUGGUUCAGGCGUGCUGUGACAGCCUCUCACCAAUCAGACAGCACCACUCGCAGUUCGGUUUGAGAUGGGAACAGGAAGAAAUGUGUCAACACUUUCGUGUCUCUGCGUGUCGGAGCGGCAUGCCUGGCCCGGCUGCGUGCUGCGGGCACACGUGUCACGGGCAGCACCAGGGCUGUGCGGGGCUGUGCUCCGCCUGCAGGGCGGUGAGCCCGAGCCCCACGGCACCUCAGGGCCCCUCAGCACCGCUGUGUGCAGGCGCUGCCGUGUCCCAGCAGGGCAGGCCGUGCUCUGAGCCUCUGUGUGAACGUGACAGCGUGCCCCACGCACUGUGGGGCUGGGAUUAAAAACAGACUGUGUGCAAA